ensembl:lncRNA
AUCCAGAACACCAGAACGGAUCCUUCCCCUCACUGUGAUGCAUCCAGAACAACCAGAACGGAUCCUUCCCCUCACUCUGAUACAUCCAGAACACCCAGAAUGGAUCCUUCCCCUCACUGUGAUGCAUCCAGAACACCCAGAACUUUAUGUCCAAUCUUCAAAAACAAAGAAGACAACAGCUGCCAUUGUUUGUUUUAGCAUGUUGUAGAACAAGCACUGUUCUGAAUGAUAUCAAUUAUAUUUUCUUGUGAUAGAUUCACGUUAAUACAGAAUAAUACAGGUAGCCUACUGGCAAAUGAAUACAGAAUAAUACAGGUAGCCUACUGGCAAAUGAAUACAGAAUAAUACAGGUAGCCUACUGGUAAAUGAAUACAGAAUAAUACAGGUAGCCUACUGGUAAAUGAAUACAGAAUAAUACAGGUAGCCUACUGGUAAAUGAAUACAGAAUAAUACAGGUAGCCUACUGGUAAAUGAAUACAGAAUAAUACAGGUAGCCUACUGGUAAAUUAAUACUGGUAGCCUACUGGUAAAUGAAUACAGAAUAAUACAGGUAGCCUACUGGUAAAUUAAUACAGAAUAAUACAGGUAGCCUACUGGUAAAUUAAAGUGUAUCUAUUUGAAAAAGCAGGAGAAGGCUCAAUGUUCAAGACUGUGUUGUGAAUGAUGCUUAUAUUUUUCUCGUUGUGUUUUGUUGGCCUGGGCAUAGCUGGCUAUUGGGCAAUUUGCAUGUAAGUGUAGUACUGUAUUGUACAUUAGGUGAGUUGCUGUUUUUAAUAUUAUAUGAUGAUGUUUAACAAUGAUAAUUAAAUCCAGAAUAGUGGCACUUGGAGUUGUGUACUAUUUUCCAGAUACAUUUAACAUUAGUGUGUACAAUAUUGCCUGUGUGUAUGGUCUGUUUGCUGGGUUAGAGAGGGAAGUAUACUACAGUAAUGGUGUGUAUGGUCUGUUUGCUGGGUUAGAGAGGGAAGUAUACUACAGUAAUGGUUUGUAUGGUCUGUUUGCUGGGUUAGAGAGGGAAGUAUACUACAGUAAUGGUUUGUAUGGUCUGUUUGCUGGGUUAGAGAGGGAAGUAUACUACAGUAAUGGUUUGUAUGGUCUGUUUGCUGGGUUAGAGAGGGAAGUAUACUACAGUAAUGGUUUGUAUGGUCUGUUUGCUGGGUUAGAGAGGGAAGUAUACUACAGUAAUGGUUUGUAUGGUCUGUUUGCUGGGAGAGAGAGGGAAGUAUACUACAGUAAUGGUUUGUAUGGUCUGUUUGCUGGGAGAGAGAGGGAAGUAUACUACAGUACUCAUAAAAUUUGAUUUGAUUUGAUUGUGGUAAACAAACUGGUUAUCUAAAACUAGAACUCCUUGAAAAUAUUCCAGCUGUAUUCAGAUCCAUCAAUGGACAGAUGAGAGAGUCGUUGUGUAAAUGUUGUGUAGGGGAGUGGCUCGUGGGGCUUUGGUCAAAAGUAGUGCACUAUAUAGGGAAUAGGGUUCCAUAGGACUCUGGUCUAAAGUAGUGCACUAUAUAGGGAAUAGGGUUCCAUAGGACUCUGGUCUAAAGUAGUGCACUAUAUAGGGAAUAGGGUUCCAUUUGGAACGUAGGUGUAAUGAAGUGAAAGCAGCGUGUGCUCCAGUUGAGAGUUUAGGUCACCAUAGAAACGCAUUCAUUCAUUCAGGAGUGGUUGGGUGGGUGGGAUAUCUCAAUCAGCGUCCACCUGACAGAACAAACAUGGUUUAGUCAUCAACAUCUGGUGUGUUGCCCUACAUCGCCUGGAUACAGAAAGGAAACAACAAACUGCUACGGUACAAAACAGAUACAUUCACUUUAUUUUCUGUUUCGUGACAGGAUCUCUGAGUCUGAUAUGACCUCGAUACAUCUUGGGGGAUUUCCUGUAAGCAGAUGAUAAAACCAUGCGCUGAUCUAAUUGGAUAAAAAUAAUCAAAUUAAAAAAACACUUGACAGGACGUUCAUUGGAUGUUGGAGAAAAACUCUAUAUUGUGUCAGAUGCUGUCUUUAUGUUACUGACAAAACGCUCAGAAUGCAUAUAGAAUCUCAAGGCCAUCAGAAUGUUAUACAGCCAUCACUAACUAAGAGAGGCAGCUGCCUACAUACAGACUAAUCGGCCACUUUAAAAAAUGGAUCACUAGUCACUUUAAUAAUGCCACUUUAAUAGUGUUUACAUAUCUUGCAUUACUCAUCUCAUAUGUAUAUAUUGUAUUUUAUACCGCCUAUUGCAUCUUGCCUGUGCUGCUCUGUCAUUGCUCAUCCAUAUACAGUAUUUAUAUGUAUAUAUUCUUAUUCCAUUCCUUUACUUAGAUUUGUGUGUAUUAGGUAGUUGUUGUGGAAUUGUUAGAUUCCCUGUUAGAUAUUACUGCACUGUCGGAACUAGAAGCACAAUCAUUUCAUUACACUCGCAAUAUCUGCUAACCAUGUGUAUGUGACCAAUACAUUUUGAUUUGAUUUGAAUGGUUUAGUUUAGUUGAUGAGGAGCAACAUUAGCCGCUGUACAUGCAGAAGCCCUUCCUGUGGUCCACAAAUAGAACUGAACAGAAAUACAAAAAAAAAGUUCACACUUUUUUAGCUGAGCUCUGAAACUAAAAUGUGUGAUAAAUAUCAACAUAGUUAGAAGAGGACCAGCUACCCCCCUAGAGGAGGACCAGCUACCCCCUAGAGGAGGACCAGCUACCCUCUAGAGGAGGACCAGCUACCCCCUAGAGGAGGACCAGCUACCCCCUAGAGGAGGACCAGCUACCUCCCUAGAGGAGGACCAGCUACCCCCUAGAGGAGGACCAGCUACCUCACCAGAGGAGGACCAGCUACCCCCUAGAGGAGAACCAGCUACCUCCCUUAGAGGAGAACCAGCUACCUCCCUAGAGGAGGACCAGCUACCCCCUAGAGGAGAACCAGCUACCUC